rnacentral:rRNA from 1 species
CAGUAGCCGCGGUAAUACGAAGGGUGCAAGCGUUAAUCGGAAUUACUGGGCGUAAAGCGUGCGCAGGCGGUUAUAUAAGACAGAUGUGAAAUCCCCGGGCUCAACCUGGGAACUGCAUUUGUGACUGUAUAGCUAGAGUACGGCAGAGGGGGAUGGAAUUCCGCGUGUAGCAGUGAAAUGCGUAGAUAUGCGGAGGAACACCGAUGGCGAAGGCAAUCCCCUGGGCCUGUACUGACGCUCAUGCACGAAAGCGUGGGGAGCAAACAGGAUUAGAGACCCCAGUAGUCCCUGUCUCUUAUAC